rnacentral:lncRNA from 1 species
GGAAUUAUGUGUGGUCAUAUGACGUGUAUCACGAGCGAGACGAGCACGAGUCUCAGCUUCGGGUGGGUGCUGUGGUGGAGGCCUAUAUAGCACGACGUUGGCCGGGGCUUGUUCUAGCGACGGAUAUGGAGAGUCGUGGUCCAGUGUGGUAUGGGACUCAUUGGGGAGCGGACCCUUCUCUAGUGACUUGUCUGGGAACUCUAAAGACGAACUUGCGGUGUAUUCAUAGUCUUGUGGAUGCGGAGCGGCCCACUUGGCGAUGGCUUUUUCCGGCGUAUACAGUGGCGAUGACGUUUUGUCAACCAUGGGUCGUGUCCCGGUCGGGG